rnacentral:lncRNA from 12 species
UUUUAACUUUAUUAUUUUACUUUAUUAUAAGAAUAUGGGAUUUCUUGAUUUAUAUAUUUUCUGUUAUGUAAGUAUAUUUUCAAUAUAAUUUGUAUACAAUACAAUUGUUUAACAUAAUUUUGUAGUAUGACUAUUUCUCUUAUAUAGGAUAGGAACAUAGCAAUAUCUCCAUGUGAAAGUGUGUGAACACUGCCAUCCUGUGGCAUACAUCAAUCUGCACUAUUUAUUGCAAAUGUGGAAUAUAUGAAAUGUUUUAUAGUUUGACAGUUGACUGAAUUACAGGUGUUAAAGAGGAACUUCCUAGGGAUUAUAGGGAUCUGUGUGUAACUUCUGAUUUUGGUACUCCCUGUGUUUUUUUUUGUUUUUGUUUUUUUGGUUCAUAAUUGCCAUACAGCUUCUUUCUCUGUCUUCAUUCUGUCUCUGUGUUUCUCUCUUGUCUCUCAGUGUAACAGGUUUUUGUAGAGAGCUGAUGUGUUUCCUGUCACUGUGGGCUGCAGAGCACAGUAGUACAGAGCAGAGUCUGAUAGAGCAGCAGAAGAUAUCUCCAGAUCCACAAGGUCCUUUUUUGUAAUGUUAACAGAGAAUCUUGGAUCUAUCUUAGACACCUCAGCUUCUUUUGCUUUACUGUGGGUUUUUUGUACGGUGUACUUGUGUUUCCUGCCACUGUGGGCGCCAGAGCACAGUAGUACAGAGCAGAGUCUGAUACAGCAGCAGAGGAGAUCUUCAGAUCCACAUGUUCCUUUUUUGUCACAUUAACAGUAAAUCUUGGAUCUACAACAGAACGCUGAACCUCUUUUUUAGUGUCAUAUGUGAGUACAAUAAAUUCAGGUUUCGAUCUUCCAUACUGACGGUACCAGUGGAGAUAAUCUGUAGUGCUAGAGUCAGUAAAACUACAGGAUAAUGUAACACUUGAACCUUCCUCAGCAAAAACAUUGGUUUUGUUUGGUUUGAUGACAUUUCCAAAGACAGAAACUGAAAAAGAAAAGGUACAUUUGUAUUUUUUUUCUUCUUUUAAUAAUCAACU